GGUAAACUGAAUGUGCAGACCUAUAGAAGACUGACUCCAGAGUCGAGAGGGUGUUCAAGACUUCAGUCGCUGUCUGUCCAAUGAUCCAGAACAGCCUUCAGUGUCCCCCCGCUGAUGAAUUAAAAGUGUUCCUUUGGCAUUCGAGGCCUUGGUGGAGAAUUCAAAAGGAUGCCAGAAGUGAUGGACGAUAUUAACAAAAUGUUAACGGCAAUGGCGUCUCAAGGCCACCAGCAUUUAUGGGGGGAAAAUGCACUUUAAAAGCUGAAAUGGGGCA